rnacentral:rRNA from 1 species
AGCCUCCCUCUAGCUCAGCCGCCCAAACAACGCAAAAACUAAACAAACCCACUGAAUGACCCAAACUAAAACAUUUUCCAGUCCUAGUAUAGGCGAUAGAAAAGACACUUAGACGCGAUAGAGACCAGUACCGUAAGGGAAAGAUGAAAUAGCAGUGAAAACUAAAGCAAAAAAUAGCAAAGAUCAACCCUUGUACCUUUUGCAUCAUGAUUUAGCAAGAACAACCAAUCAAAGUGAACUGAAGUUUGCCCCCCCGAAACCCAAGCGAGCUACUUGCGAGCAGCUAUUAGAGCGAACCCGUCUCUGUUGCAAAAGAGUGGGACGACUCGUUAGUAGAGGUGAAAAGCCAACCGAGCUGGGUGAUAGCUGGUUACCUGUGUGAAACGAAUCUAAGUUCUCCCUUAAUCCUUUCCCCCCGGGAUACACCCAGAACCACAAUGAGAUGAUUAAGAGUUAUUUAAUGGAGGGUACAGCUCCAUUAAAAAAGGACACAACCUCGACUAGCGGAUAAAUCCUACACUAAACCUACUGUGGGCCUUAAAGCAGCCAUCAACAAAGAGUGCGUCAAAGCUCCACCACCCAAAGAUACCAAAACAAGAUGAAUCCCUUAUCAGAAACAGGUCAACCUAUGAAUAUAGGAAGAUUAUGCUAAAAUAAGUAACUCGGGGCCACAUCACCCCUCUAACGGCGCAAGCUUACACUGUUAACCCGACUCAGGAGCGCCUAUAAGAGCGAUUAAAAUCUGUGAAAGGAACUCGGCAAAACCACGGCCCGACUGUUUACCAAAAACAUAGCCUUCAGCAAAUCAAGCAAGUAUUGAAGGUGAUGCCUGCCCAGUGACCCAGGUUAAACGGCCGCGGUAUCCUAACCGUGCAAAGGUAGCGCAAUCAAUUGUCCCAUAAAUCCGAGACUUGUAUGAAUGGCUAAACGAGGUCCUAACUGUCUCUCACAGAUAAUCAGUGAAAUUGAUCUCCCCGUACAAAAGCGGGGAUGUGAACAUAAGACGAGAAGACCCUGUGGAACUUAAAAAUCAACGGCCACCGCGAACCUACAAACCAACCACUGGGGCCGCUACUAAUCGCAAGGCAUGGCCGACAUUUUUCGGUUGGGGCGACCUUGGAGAAAAACAGACCCUCCAAAAACAAGACCACACCUCUUUACUUAGAGCCACCCCUCAAAGUGCUAAUAGCGACCAGACCCAAUAUAAUUGAUUAAUGGACCAAGCUACCCCAGGGAUCACAGCGCAAUCCCCCUCAAGAGCCCCUAUCGACAGGGGGGUUUACGACCUCGAUGUUGGAUCAGGACAUCCUAAUGGUGCAGCCGCUAUUAAGGGUUCGUUUGUUCAACGAUUAACAGUCCUACGUGAUCUGAGUUCAGACCGGAGCAAUCCAGGUCGGUUUCUAUCUAUGAACCACUCUCCCCAGUACGAAAGGACCGGAAAGUAAGGCCAAUACUACAUGCACGCCUUCCCUCUAAAUAGUGAAACCAACUGAACUGUGAAGAGGAUCUCUCCCACCACCCCAAUCCUAGAAAAGGACCA